AUAUCCUUAUGAGUUCUAUCUAUUGUUAGAUAGAACUACAUGAACAGAAGCUCUUUGAGUCCUCAAUCAUUUUUAAGAGUGCAAAGAGGUCUUAAGACCAAAAUGAUCGCAAUCUGCUUUGAGUCCUCAAUCAUUUUUAAGAGUGCAAAGAGGUCUUAAGACCAAAAUGAUCGCAAUCUGCUGACCUACUUUGGGCAAGAUGACAUACUCUCACCUUUUCUGUUCAUUCUCUUUAGCCUUCAGAGCAGACCUGUAAGAGCCUAGAUUUCCAGCGUAUGGAAAGCAAAAAGGAGGCUCAGAGUAAAGCCGCACCUCUAAUAAGGGAUAAAGCUGGGAUUGGACAUCACUUUCUCUGCUCUACCCAUUUUGCUGCACUGUCUCUUAGCAUCCAUUGUGGCAAAAAGAAGUUUUAUGGAAGAGAAAGCAAGCCGCAAACAUUAGAGAUUUUGCAAGAGGCAAGCUUCACUCUCCAAUACUUGCUGAAAAAUAUUCUCUGUGCUCCUCGGUCUCCAAAGAAGGAGACUAAUUUAGUUCAAAAAGAGAGAUCUCUGUCCGCGGCUCAGCCCUGGGUGUCGGGGUUCCAGGCGUCGCUGGGUCUGGGCGCGCCACGUCUGCACAGCGCCCUCUGUUGGCCCCUCUCUGCUCCAGCC
rnacentral:lncRNA from 1 species